UACGAAGGGGGCUAGCGUUGUUCGGAAUUACUGGGCGUAAAGCGCUCGCAGGCGGAUUGAUAAGUCGGGGGUGAAAUCCCGGGGCUCAACCUCGGAAUUGCCUUCGACACUGUCUAUCUAGAGUCCGGGAGAGGUGAGUGGAAUUCCUAGUGUAGAGGUGAAAUUCGUAGAUAUUAGGAAGAACACCAGUGGCGAAGGCGGCUCACUGGCCCGGAACUGACGCUGAGGAGCGAAAGCGUGGGGAGCAAACAGG
rnacentral:rRNA from 1 species